UCUGCACCCCCCUGCAGUUCCAUGGCAGUGGGAGCCCAGCAGGACUGGGGGCUGAGGACCCUCCGGUGCGGCUCAGGACCAUGGAAGGGGCAGGGGAGGCGAGGGGCUCCCUGCAGAAAAUGCCAGCCCUCCCCGAAAGACUCUUCAGGGCUGCGGGCGGACGUGGGUGGAAACCCACCCACCUGCUUCAAUCCUGACCUCGCUCACAGAUCUGCGCCUCCCUUUGAAGUCCGCUUAGGUCUCGCCCUGCCUUGGAGCUCCUAUGCCCGUGAGUGGGGCAGAAAUUCCCAGCGUCCUCGUGGGGAGGGUCUCGGGGCUCAAAGCUCCAGCCAAGAGCGACUAGGGCUCCGGCGUUUCAUAAAUAAUUACACAUUCCUUCAACUCUCACAAAGCCAAGAGAAAACAAACCCGCAAUGCCGAGAUUCCUGGAAUGACUUCCAGUGACCUGGGCCAGGCGGAGGCGGGGUCAGCUGGGUGGGACUCGGGACAGUCCCCUUUCCCCUUUCUCUCUUCAUUUCCUGGGCACCAGUCCCCUUUCUUGUGGCAUUUUAGUUAAAAGACCUGAAAGGGGAAUGAAAGGCACUUGAGGACUGUGGUGCCCGUCAGGGCCCCGGACGGUGGGGAAGCCUGCCCGGUCCUGGACAACCCCAUGGAGCUGUACCCUGGCACUGACCUCAAGGAGAACCCACAGAGGCUGCGGUCUCCAUUCACUGUGUCCCCUCCAGGGUUGCUUUAGGUGUGAGAGUCUCCUUUGGACGCCCCAGGAAUUGCCUCUGACCCCCAGUCUGGAGCUCCUGUUCUGAGCAGGGGCCCUGGGAUUGCCCUUGAGCCCCUGCCCUGAGCUCCUGCUCCGAACAGGGGGCAUCCCUGGAUGUGCCCUCAUUCCUUUGAGGUUUGCUGUGGCUCGCACCGCAGCUUAAUCCGACUCACCCCAGCCGGCUAGGGCGGUUUCCUGUUACAAACACAGGCUUAGUUUUAAGAUCAAACAACUGUUUUGGUUCUGGUCUGAUCUCGCGGGGGGUGUGGUGCCACUCCCGGUGCAGCCCGGCCAAGGGGUGAUGUCAGGUCAUGUUGGCUUCAUCGCCGAGCACUGUAGCCUCCUCUGUGUCCACCGUCCCCACCCAGCCGCCCCCUCUAGCCGCUGUGCCCCAGGUUCCACUCAGCAGUGGGUCAUCGGCCCCUCUGCCAUCCUCGCCACGGAUGCCCAGCCUUAUUUGUUUGGGGUAUGUCUGGGCCAUUCCACCCACUCCUCCUGAGGGCUCUCCUCUCCCCUGCCCCGUGUGGUCGGCGUCCAUCUCUGAAGUGCAGGAAGCAGGAAGCAAAGCCUGCUUUUGGGAAGGACCCUGGGCUCUGGCCAGGACGGCUUUGGGGCUAAGCCAGAAAGGAGGGCGUGUGGAAGCCGUUUGGGAUGCCAGGUCAGAGGGGAGGGGGCUGCUCACACGGGGCCAUUGUAUUGUAAAUUUUCAGGGCUCCCUUCUACCCUUCUUCUCUGGCUAGCUUUCUAGCAAGGCCAAGACGUGACAUUCUCAUUCUGUUUGGAGCAGGAUGAGGGGCUUGUGUCCUAACACCGCCAAGUGUGGACGGGGCUGGGAACUGCACAUGGCUGCCACCUGCUGCGGGGGUGGCGCCCGGGAGUGUCCCUCGGAGAAUGUCAGGCUGGCAGGGCGAGUGAGGUCCAGCCAUGGGGCCCCUGCUCAGCCCCGAGGACGCCCACCCUCCCCACACUGGCACAGGGUCUCAGCGAGAGACUUCGGCACUCGGGGAAAGGCCAUUUUGUCAUUGACUGGAAGUUUCUCAAGAAAGCAUUUUCCAUUCGCGUUUCCACGGAGGUCGGCUUUGCUGGAGACCACAGGACCCUGCCCUCCACCAGACGCAGUGUGCAGAGGCGUGUGCCCGAAACCGAAAUGCGGCAUCACACGGCUCUUUCAUCUGGAGCCAAACUCUCGGGAAACAAACCAGACAGACGCAGGGCGGUCACGACACCCGCGUGCGGCGUCCAAAGGCUAACUCGAGGCUGCGGUCCCUGCUGAGCACGCGGUCAUUCAACCUGGGGAAGCGAUGCCGGGAGACUCUUCUAUUCAGAUGACGUGAGGGAAGCUCCCUCAUCCUCAUAAAAGCAAGAGGGCCACCUCCACACCGUCCUGCUUUUCUGGACGCCAUGACCAGGAUGGGACAGGACCCAAGAACCCACACAUGAGACCACACUAAGACCCUAAAGAGUCUGAGCUUCUCCAGAGCGGCUGCUGACUCAUGCACACCCGGCCUGGUGUGCCCACCCCACCCAGUAUGCUCCUUGCCUGGAACAGACCUCGGAGGUCAGGAGGUGAGAGCUUCCAACCCGCUCGGCCGAAGCUUCAGAGCGCACGUGCCGUUUCUCUGCCUUUGCCUCCUGUCUUUCCAUUGAGGUAACCAGCUGUUCCCUGCUCCUGUCUGGGCUGUGGCGGGCAGCCUGUCUCCUGCAGACGACACCCCCAGAACUGCCCCAGGCUCCACACGACACCAUCCGGCAUCAGGACCUGCCAGGCACCCUCUCUCAGCAUGGCCACAGCCACCACGUGGACUAAAGGCACAGAGUCUCCCUGCCAGGUGGGAGGGCACGGCUGCAUGGGGCUGUCCGCUCUCACUGAUCCCUGGAGCUCUAACGUCCUCAGGGUCCCGGGGCCCACUUCUGCCCAGCAGCACUGGGUCACAGGAGCCCAGCUUCAGGUGCAGACAAGGACCCAAAGUCAGCCCCAGCUCCUCUGAUGCUGAACUUCGGCGGACCUCAGCGUUUCCAGGCGAGCUCCAGCCGCAGGGUCCCUGGAGGCGCUGCACAGGACCAGCUCCCUGCUGGGCCCCUCGACGCCAUCCUGAAAAGGGGUUCUUAGUCUUCCCA